rnacentral:misc_RNA from 1 species
CUGGGUUAAAAGGGCUUCUGCCCGCCACCCGCCCUCUGUCAUCGAUAAAACGAAAUGCUUCGGCCGACGGUUCCGCUAGCACCUGGCGAUCAGCCUGUGCGAAUGGGGUCGCGGUCGGUCUUCCAAACCUUGAGUGCAUGCGUGUAGUCUGAAUGCAAAAAAAACGAAACCA